rnacentral:misc_RNA from 1 species
GAAAUGCGAUAAGUAGUGUGAAUUGCAGAAUUCAGUGAAUCAUCAAAUCUUUGAACGCACAUUGCGCUUCCUGGUAUUCCGGGGAGCAUGCCCGUUUCAGAAUCAUUAAAUUCUCAAAUCAGUAAUGGUUUGGAUGUGGCCAGUCUGGGUUAGCCCAGUCUAGCUGAAAAUGAUUGUGCAUCACCCUAGGUAUUCCUGGUAGACUAAAUUGCAACAGAUUUAUCUAUUCUUUUUGGUAUCUACCAAUGAGUACUUAUGUGGUAUGUAUGCCCCCAUUUAGUAUACGGACUGGCAACUCAGUUUGAGUUGUUGUCUGAAACUUUGGUCUGAAAUCGGGCAAGAAAACCCGCUGAACUUAA